rnacentral:rRNA from 1 species
UGAUACGUAGGGUCCGAGCGUUGUCCGGAAUUAUUGGGCGUAAAGGGCUUGUAGGCGGUUUGUCACGUCGGAAGUGAAAACUCAGGGCUCAACCCUGAGCCUGCUUCCGAUACGGGCAAACUAGAGGAAUGCAGGGGAGAACGGAAUUCCUGGUGGAGCGGUGGAAUGCGCAGAUAUCAGGAGGAACACCG